rnacentral:rRNA from 1 species
UACAGAGGUUCCAAGCGUUAUUCGGAUUCACUGGGCUUAAAGGGUGCGCAGGCGGCCAUGUGUGUUCGGUGUGAAAGCCUGGAGCUUAACUCCAGAAUUGCACCUAAAACUACAUGGCUAGAGCAUUGGAGAGGGUAGCGGAAUUCACGGUGUAGCAGUGAAAUGCGUAGAUAUCGUGAGGAACACCAGAGGCGAAGGCGGCUACCUGGACAAUUGCUGACGCUCAGGCACGAAAGCGUGGGGAGCAAAAGGG